rnacentral:rRNA from 1 species
CCUACGGGUGGCAGCAGUGAGGAAUAUUGGUCAAUGGACGAGAGUCUGAACCAGCCAAGUAGCGUGAAGGAUGACUGCCCUAUGGGUUGUAAACUUCUUUUAUAUGGGAAUAAAACAGGGUAUACAUACCCUCUUGUAUGUACCAUAUGAAUAAGGAUCGGCUAACUCCGUGCCAGCAGCCGCGGUAAUACGGAGGAUCCGAGCGUUAUCCGGAUUUAUUGGGUUUAAAGGGAGCGUAGGUGGAGUGUUAAGUCAGUUGUGAAAGUUUGCGGCUCAACCGUAAAAUUGCAGUUGAAACUGGCAGUCUGGAGUGCAGUAGAGGUGGGCGGAAUUCGUGGUGUAGCGGUGAAAUGCUUAGAUAUCACGAAGAACUCCGAUUGCGAAGGCAGCUCGCUGGACUGCAACUGACACUGAUGCUCGAAAGUGUGGGUAUCAAACAGGAUUAGAUACCCUAGUAGUC